CCUACGGGUGGCAGCAGUGGGGGAUAUUGCACAAUGGGCGGAACACUGAUGCAGCGACGCCGCGUGGGUGAAGAAGCGCCUCGGCGCGUUAAGCCCCGUCAGCAGGGAAGCAAAUGCCGGUACCUGUAGAAGCCCCGGCUUACUACGUGCCAGAAGCUCCGCUAAUACGUUGGGGGCAAGCGCUAUCAGGCGUGACUGGGUGUAAAGGGGGCGCAGACGGCGAUGCAAGCCGGGGGGGAAAGCCGGGGGCCCAAAACCGGGACUGCCGUUGGAACUGCGUGGCUGGAGUGCAGGAGAGGCAGGCGGAAUUCGUGGUGUAGCGGUGAAAUGCAUAGAUAUCAGGAAGAACUCCGAUGGCGAAGGCAGCAUACUGGAGUGCAACUGACGUUGAGGCCCGAAAGCGUGGGGAGCGAACAGGAUUAGAUACCCGUGUAGUC
rnacentral:rRNA from 1 species